CGUGGACAACCUGCCGCAUGCAGGGGGAUACCGGCUGGAAACAACCGCUAAUACCGCAUAUGCGCACGGCGCCGCAUGGCGCAGUGCGGAAAGGGAGCGAUCCCGGCAUGCGAUGGGUCCGCGUCCGAUUAGCUUGUUGGCGGGGCAGCGGCCCACCAAGGCGACGAUCGGUAGCCGGCCUGAGAGGGCGGACGGCCACAUUGGGACUGAGACACGGCCCAGACUCCUACGGAAGGCAGCAG
rnacentral:rRNA from 1 species